rnacentral:rRNA from 1 species
UACAGAGGUCUCAAGCGUUGUUCGGAUUCAUUGGGCGUAAAGGGUGCGUAGGCGGCGCGGUAAGUCGGGUGUGAAAUCUCGGAGCUUAACUCCGAAACUGCAUUCGAUACUGCCGUGCUUGAGGACUGGAGAGGAGACUGGAAUUUACGGUGUAGCGGUGAAAUGCGUAGAUAUCGUAAGGAAGACCAGUGGCGGAAGGC